GUAGGGAAUCUUCCACAAUGGACGAAAGUCUGAUGGAGCAACGCCGCGUGAGUGAAGAAGGUCUUCGGAUCGUAAAACUCUGUUGUUAGAGAAGAACGUGCAUGAUAGUAACUGAUCAUGUAAUGACGGUAUCUAACCAGAAAGCCACGGCUAACUACGUGCCAGCAGCCGCGGUAAUACGUAGGUGGCAAGCGUUGUCCGGAUUUAUUGGGCGUAAAGGGAACGCAGGCGGUUUUUUAAGUCUGAUGUGAAAGCCUUCGGCUUAACCGAAGAAUAGCAUUGGAAACUGGAAGACUUGAGUGCAGAAGAGGAGAGUGGAAUUCCAUGUGUAGCGGUGAAAUGCGUAGAUAUAUGGAGGAACACCGAUGGCGAAAGCAGUCUCCUGGCCAAAUACUGACGCUGAGGUACGAAAGCUAGGGUAGCAAACAGGAUUAGAUACCCGUGUAGUCC
rnacentral:rRNA from 1 species